rnacentral:lncRNA from 1 species
UGAAUCAGAAAUGAAUAUAUUCAAAUUUCUAGGGACCAAAUGUGCAAUAAAACUAAAAAUGGCCAUUGUUGCCCAUCAAGCUUUUGCAACAAUAGCGACGAGAAAGAGGUGGCGACGAGAAAGAGGCAGCGACGAGUAGGAGGCAAUGAGGAGACAUAAACGAGAUGGAGGCAGAGGUUUCAGUCAGUGGAGGCGGAGAGAGAGCCGAUUACAGGAGGCGGAGAGAGAGCCGAUUACAGGAGGCGCAGACUUCGGUUUUGAGUUGAAGAAAUCUUUCUAUGGAGGUUCCAAAUCCUUCUGCCUCUUCUCUGUAUUGACUUUUUGGAUCUGUAGAUCUGCAACAACAAAAAAAGUAAAUUAGUGAUACAUAACGUAAAAGAGAAAAUGAAAUUAUGAUGGUGAAAAGUAAUGAUUUGCAAAAAAGAAUGUGGGUUACAUGGAAAAAAAGAAAGAAGUCGA